rnacentral:lncRNA from 12 species
AGAUAAAGAUAAUGGCUGUUCCAUCAACCUAAGUCCCCAAAUGAUUAGGAUGAACUGAAUCCCGUCACCCUGAUCCCACUGUCCCCAGAUGGAUAUGAAACACAAACAAGGAAUAAAUCUUUGUUAUUUUAAGCCACUGAGCUUUUGGGGUUGAUUGUUAAUCCAAGUCAUUCUAAUCUACCUUCCCUGAUGUCUAUACUCACAAAGAAGUAGAGUUAUAAAUUACUAGUUGGAUGUAACAAGAGAAAGAAAACACCUUGGGAUGGAGGGCAUAUCUGACCACAGAGAUUGCUGGAGUUCUCUUUCAUAAUCUUUACUUGGCUUAGACUGGCAUUAAGAUUCCUUUAAUAGUGGCAUACCUCAGCACUAAGUGCCACUAAUAAUGUGCUUUUCAGAUAGCUUCCCACUAGGGCUCUAUGCAAAAGAUAACAUAGUAAGGCCCCAAAAUAGUGUGGUUAAAAUAUGUUGAUGCCUUGAAGUGAACUCUCUGAAAUUCUAAAUUUAAUUCAGCUCAACACACUCAGCACAGUGGUGGAGAAAAACAUCAUGUAAGACGUGUCUUUAAAUUCAGGAGUUCAAACUUAUUCAUCCCUGGACACAGCUUGGAAACCAGAUGAUGGCUAAAAUGAUGAGCAAAUGGGUGUAGCUAACACCUUUGCUCAUAUGAACAAAUAUUCACAUGCUCAGAAGGCCAAAGCAGCUGCCUCACCCCAUGUCUGGAUUUCAAAGGCCUGAA